AGAUUGAACGCUGGCGGCAUGCCUUACACAUGCAAGUCGAACGGCAGCACGGGGGCAACCCUGGUGGCGAGUGGCGAACGGGUGAGUAAUACAUCGGAACGUAUCCUGUAGCGGGGGAUAACCUCUCGAAAGAGAGGCUAAUACCGCAUACGACCUACGGGUGAAAGAGGGGGAUCGCAAGACCUCUCACUAUUGGAGCGGCCGAUGUCGGGUAUUAG
rnacentral:rRNA from 1 species